GAAAUGCGAUACUUGGUGUGAAUUGCAGAAUCCCGUGAACCAUCGAGUCUUUGAACGCAAGUUGCGCCCGAAGCCAUCAGGUUGAGGGCACGUCUGCCUGGGCGUCACAUAUCGUUGCCCGAUGCCUAUUGCAGUGCAAUAGGAAUUUCUAGGGCGAAUGAUGGCUUCCCGUGAGCGUUGUUGCCUCGCGGCUGGUUGAAAAUCGAGUCCUUGGUAGGGUGUGCCAUGAUAGAUGGUGGUCGAGUUCGCACGAUACCGAUCAUGUGCAUGCUCCCCAAAAUAUGGCCUCUAUGACCCACACGUGUCUUUUGACGCUCAUGACGAGACCUCAGGUCAGGCGGGGCUACCCGCUGAAUUUAA
rnacentral:misc_RNA from 1 species